rnacentral:rRNA from 1 species
UGAAUUGACGGGGGCCCGCACAAGCGGUGGAGCAUGUGGUUUAAUUCGAUGCAACGCGAAGAACCUUACCUGGUCUUGACAUCCACAGAACUUUCCAGAGAUGGAUUGGUGCCUUCGGGAACUGUGAGACAGGUGCUGCAUGGCUGUCGUCAGCUCGUGUUGUGAAAUGUUGGGUUAAGUCCCGCAACGAGCGCAACCCUUAUCCUUUG